CCUACGGGGGGCUGCAGUGGGGAAUAUUGGGCAAUGGGCGCAAGCCUGACCCAGCCAUGCCGCGUGAGUGAUGAAGGCCUUCGGGUCGUAAAGCUCUGUGGGGAGGGACGAACAGCCCGGCGGUUAAUACCCGCAGGGUCUGACGGUACCUCCUUAGCAAGCACCGGCUAACUCCGUGCCAGCAGCCGCGGUAAUACGGGGGGUGCAAACGUUGCUCGGGAUUAUUGGGCGUAAAGCGCACGUAGGCGGUGAAAGCCCCAGGCUUAACCUGGGAAGUGCACUCGAAACUGCAGGGCUUGAGUACGGAAGAGGGUCUCGGAAUUCCCGGUGUAGAGGUGAAAUUCGUAGAUAUCGGGAGGAACACCAGUGGCGAAGGCGGAGACCUGGGCCGAUACUGACGCUGAGGUGCGAAAGCGUGGGGAGCAAACAGGAUUAGAUACCCGAGUAGUC
rnacentral:rRNA from 1 species